rnacentral:rRNA from 1 species
UGCAACGCGAAAACCUUACUACCUUGACAUGUCCGGAAUCCUGCAGAGAUGCGGGAGUGCCGAAAGGGAAUCGGAACACAGGUGCUGCAUGGCUGUCGUCAGCUCGUGUCGUGAGAUGUUGGGUUAGUCCCGCAACGAGCGCAACCCCUUAUCAUUAGUUGCUACGCAAGGGCACUCUAAUGAGACUGCCGGUGACAAACCGGAGGAAGGUGGGGGAUGACGUCAAGUCCUCAUGGCCCUUAUGGGUAGGGCUUCACACGUCAUACAAUGGUCGGUACAGAGGGUUGCCAAGCCGCGAGGUGGAGCCAAUCCCAGAAAGCCGAUCGUAGUCCGGAUUGUUCUCUGCAACUCGAGAGCAUGAAGUCGGAAUCGCUAGUAAUCGCGGAUCAGCAUGUCGCGGUGAAUACGUUCCCGGGUCUU